rnacentral:rRNA from 1 species
AUGACGACGGCGACGGCGACGGCCGCGCCCCUCACCGGGAUGGACAAGUACGAGGAGGUGCGGGACAUCGGGUCGGGAAACUUCGGGGUGGCCCGGCUGAUGCGCCACCGCGAGAACGACGGGCUCGUCGCCGUCAAGCUCAUCGAGCGCGGCCACCGGAUUGACGAGAAUGUGUACCGGGAGAUCGUCAACCACCGCUCGCUUCGGCACCCCAACAUCAUCCAGUUCAUAGAGGUGAUCCUAACACCGACGCAUCUUGCAAUCGUGAUGGAGUAUGCGGCGGGUGGCGAGCUCUUUGAUCGGAUCGUCGAUCGUGGCCGGUUUAGCGAGGACGAGGCCAGAUAUUUCUUCCAGCAGCUGAUCUGCGGCGUAAGCUACUGCCAUCACAUGCAAAUAUGCCAUAGAGAUUUGAAGCUGGAGAAUGUUCUCCUGGAUGGUAGCCCGGCUCCCCGGCUCAAGAUAUGCGACUUUGGGUACUCCAAGUCGUCAGUACUACAUUCAAGGCCCAAAUCUGCAGUGGGGACGCCAGCAUACAUUGCACCGGAAGUUCUUCGUCGCCAGGAAUAUGAUGGGAAGAUGGCAGAUGUAUGGUCCUGUGGGGUGACUCUCUAUGUCAUGCUUGUGGGAGCCUACCCAUUUGAAGACCCGGAUGACCCCAAGAAUAUUAAGAAGAUCAUUCAGCGAAUAGCAGCAGUCGACUAUACCAUCCCAGACAAUAUUCUCAUAUCUGCUGAUUGCAGACAGCUCAUCUCUCUUAUCUUUGUGAGCAAUCCAACAAAGAGAAUCACAAUGAAGGAGAUAAAGAGCCACCCAUGGUUCUUGAAGAACUUGCCGCGGGAGCUCACAGAGGAAGCUCAAGCAGACUACUACGAGAGGAGCAGCAGCGUGCCUUCUUUCUCGAAGCAAACAACCCAAGAGAUCAUGGAGAUUGUGCAAGACGCAAGGAAGAAGCCGAGAUCAAGCACAUCAGGCUAUGGCUACGCGGACGAGUUAUCGGAUGAUGAGGAAAAGAAUGCGAAGGUCAGUGUACCAGAACAGAAUGACGAAGAAGAUGAGUGCGACAAGAAGGUUAGGGAGGUUCUUGAGAGCGGGGAGCUGGAUAUGAGCGCGUUGCACAUCUAA